CCUAAAACGUGUUCCAAAACAUAUACUUAUGUUGUUCGCCACAAACCCUGAAAUCAUUGACCCACAUUCCUUGCCAUCAACAACGGCGCACUAAAAAUUCUUGAAGCUGGCCAUAUUGAAAUUGCCUGCUGUCGAGAUUUAGUGAUUCCGAAGAACCUCAUUCUUAUCCCAAC